UACGUAGGGGGCAAGCGUUGUCCGGAAUCAUUGGGCGUAAAGCGCGUGUAGGCGGCUCGAUAAGUCUGCUGUGAAAGUCCAAGGCUCAACCUUGGGGAUGCCGGUGGAUACUGUCGAGCUCGAGUCCGGAAGAGGAGUGUGGAAUUCCUGGUGUAGCGGUGAAAUGCGCAGAUAUCAGGAGGAACACCAAUGGCGAAGGCAGCACUCUGGGACGUGACUGACGGCUGAGGAGCGAAAGCGUGGGGAGCAAACAG
rnacentral:rRNA from 1 species